GACGAACGCUGGCGGCGUGCUUAACACAUGCAAGUCGAACGGAAAGGCCCUGCUUUUGUGGGGUGCUCGAGUGGCGAACGGGUGAGUAACACGUGAGUAACCUGCCCUUGACUUUGGGAUAACUUCAGGAAACUGGGGCUAAUACCGGAUAGGAGCUCCUGCUGCAUGGUGGGGGUUGGAAAGUUUCGGCGGUUGGGGAUGGACUCGCGGCUUAUCAGCUUGUUGGUGGGGUAGUGGCUUACCAAGGCUUUGACGGGUAGCCGGCCUGAGAGGGUGACCGGCCACAUUGGGACUGAGGUACGGACCAGACUCCUACGGGAGGCAGCAGUGGGGAAUAUUGCACAAUGGGCGGAAGCCUGAUGCAGCAACGCCGCGUGCGGGAUGACGGCCUUCGGGUUGUAAACCGCUUUCGCCUGUGACGAAGCGUGAGUGACGGUAAUGGGUGAAGAAGCACCGGCUAACUACGUG
rnacentral:rRNA from 1 species